rnacentral:rRNA from 1 species
CAGCCGCCACGGGAAUACGUAGGGUGCAAGCGUUAAUCGGAAUUACUGGGCGUAAAGCGUGCGCAGGCGGUUUGUUAAGACAGAUGUGAAAUCCCCGGGCUCAACCUGGGAACUGCAUUUGUGACUGGCAAGCUAGAGUGUGGCAGAGGGGGGUGGAAUUCCGCGUGUAGCAGUGAAAUGCGUAGAUAUGCGGAGGAACACCGAUGGCGAAGGCAGCCCCCUGGGCCAACACUGACGCUCAUGCACGAAAGCGUUGGGAGCAAACAGGAUUAGAUACCCCUGUAGUCCCUGUCUCUUAUAC